CCUGCCACUCAUGGCAGAAUUAUCUAGAACAUCCUUGACAGGUGUGUGUCUAAUCCAUUCUUAAAAACCUCCAGUGACGGAGGCUCCACA